ensembl:lncRNA
CACAACAAUGGACAUGGAGGCGAUGGUUCACCUGCUGCUCGGUCUGUGGCUUUCUGUCAGAUUCAAAGUAAUAGAAGAGUCGGAGAAAGCUGAGAGCGACGAGUCGAAACACUCAGGAGACACACAGGAGAGUUUGGGAGGCGAUACAGCAGCAUCAAGCUGAAGACAAGAGGAUAUGAACUAUGAUAUGAGGGUGGAAGCUGAAUUAGUGAGGAUGACUCCUGCUCCUGUCAUCUCUAAGCUCCUCACACAUCUUUUACCUGCACAUGAGGAAAAUCACUCCUGUAGAAUGCAGUCUGUAGCUGCUGAAUUCAUGGAUGAAUCAUCUGACACUAGAGAGGAAGACCAUCAAACAUCCACGUCAGCUGAUGGAGGUCCAAGAGUCUCACCAAACAACCUACAGAGUGAAGACCUCCAAUCUGAUUGGACGGCCUCCUAUUCAGCCACGUGUGAACAAAUGCCUCUAAGUUGAUUUGUUUUCUAAAAUAAAUCUAGUUUGAGUC